ACACCCUGCCCACUCGUCAUCGCAACGCCGACGAUGACGCAGCCGCAGCAAGCACUCGAACCCGAAAGACGUCUCGCGCCCGAUCGCCCCGCGCCCGCCCUGCACACGUGUAAACAAGUAGCCCGCGGUCUCUGCUUCGGCCGAGUUGCCAGUACGUGUCUGCCCCCCUGACCCUGCGCCGCUCGCCUCUUCAUUAUCGCCUGUGGAAUCCCGGGCUACAUAUUUCCUCUCGAGAAAGGUUGUGUGCAUCUUUCUCGUCUUUCGUUUUAAUUCUCUGGGACGGUGAUAAUGAAUGGAGGGUUUGCCAGGGACUGCGGAGGGUAAACAGCAAGAGCUCGAGGCGGCGUCACCCUCUUGCGGAACAAGCAUGGAGUGUGACAGCUCGAGUGUCGAGGCAGUUAAUUGGGGUCAAGUGCUCGAGGUCGCCACGGUAUUUCUCCACAUGAUGAUAUUGUCUAGAUGAUUUAUGGGAAGUUCCUGGUGAAGACGAACCACUUCUUUCGACAGGAGGAUGAAAUAUAUCCACUUCUCGCGCACCUUGAAAUACGUUCCCUAGAGGUUCCGAGAAGGGAGGAAAGGGAGGCCGUGGCGGACGCUGCAAGAGGAACCGGAUCAGCACAUUCCUCAUAUGUUUGUUCUUGAGAGGAAAGAAGUCAUCCCUUUUUAGACAAAUUUCAGGUACAGAACGUAGACAGAAUUAUUAUAAUUACAGUUCCCACCUGACCAAAUAUAUACAAAACAAAAAUACUAUUGAACAUGUCAAAUUCGGACAGAAUAGCUCAUUAAUAAGGAAAAAAGCAUUGUUAAUCUGUACACACACACACACACACACAAACAAAAAAAACAAAAACAGUUUACCAGAAACAAACGCCUCCUGCCAUUACUCCACGUGUAACCAAAUCCUCGCUGGGAGCUGCUGUUUUGAUAUAAGUUUGCUGCAACAUAUGGUGUAUCUGGUUCAUCCUGUGGAGUAAUCCCACGGCUAGGCUGCUGUUGUCGCUAAGCCCUUCGUGGCCAGCUGAGAGAGAGCUGUUGGGAGGGCUCCUGUGCAAGGGGCGGACGACGGGAAGGAGAAAAAAGAGGGGUGGGUGAGAAGGCCUAUAUUUCCGGUGCGGGAGAUGUAUUUUGACUAGGUCUGAAAGGUUAGAGAAACCGGACAGAUACAUCCCUUACAUUCUGAAGGUAUUCCUUGGCACCCAUACUUUUUUUUCAAUGUUUAUCGCUAGGAGUACUGUUCAUAAGGAUGGAUCUCUGCAUCCUACUUAGGAGCGUAGGAUGGUUUCCUGUUGCUUUACCUCCAUAUCCUUUAGAGACCUUGACUUCGAUAGACAGAUGUUAGGAAAGAGUAUUGUUGAUAUUUCGUAAGAUUGAGACUCUCUCUCUCUCUCUCUCUCUCUCUCUCUCUCUCUC